CCCCCCCCCCCCCCCAGCCUGGACGUGGUGAAAUGUGCAGGCUGUUUCUGAACUCAUCAAAUGGUACUCGUGGCAGGCCUUUAGUGAAUAUGUCUGUAAAUUGUGACACAGAUGGAACAUGCAAUACUUCCACCUAGAGAUACUUUGUCCCUGACACUGACAAAGUGAAGAUCAAUUUGCGCGUGUUUUAUUCUUUGAUGCCGCACAGGGUUGGAGGACAAGUAUCCGUGUCCUCCGCCAAAGCCGUUAGUCUUUUUGAAAAAGGAUGAUAAGUUGCCUCCGAUUGCGGUGACAGUACCCAAGAUGGGUUUUAGACCGGAUUCUGGAUGCAUUGCUAAUCCUAGGCUGUCCGAAAAGGAGGCUGCAGGGACAGCGAAGCCGCCGCAAGUGGCGGGCAACACGGCAUUACAGAGUUGCUGCGAGGAGGUGGUGCUUGGGCCUGGGUGUUGCACACAUCCUGCACAUUCUGCUACCUCUCCUAUCACCGAGACCUCGCAGGGCCAGACAGGGAGUGAGACAAAUAUUCUAUUCCUGUUAUAGAAGAAGCUACCUCACCUUCGCAGAUGGAGUCAGGACAGUCGGCAUCGACUUGUUUCAUGACACCAAAUAAAAUAAUUGAAGAUGGGAUACCUGCAGUUGACGAGCAUGUAUUGGAAAGGGCCAAGCGACGCACUGCAAGAUGGAAUCUGGAUAGCCCGGCAGGGACGUCCUCACCAGGUAACAUCUCUUCU